CUCAGUCUCUUUCAGCUCUGGCAGCAUCGUGGACGGUCACCAGCUGCGAGGCCUCAACUCUUAACAUGCUGUUUUCAAACGUCGUGAUAUAUUUCUGUCUGAAUAUGAACCUUUCUACAUUGGAGCCGCCGUGAAGAGGCAGCUGUUGGUGAAGGUGAAAUGAGGUUCUUCUCUUCUCCAAAAUGUCUGGAAUUUAACUCCAAUGAAAGGGCCGUGGUUCUUCAGUCCCACUUAAAGUGAACUGCUAAAACGGUGGAUGGGAUUACAGUGGAAACAGCAGGUCUGACCGUCUGUGGAAGACUGAGGCGGAAGAUGUUGGUUCUGAAAGUUGGAAAGAUGAAACCAAAGCUGUGGAUUGAAGCAGAGGUCCAACUUUGAAGAAUGACAAAAGAUGAAUUUGUAUGAAAAGAUGUUUAGUAUUAAUGGGAUACUUCACCUAUUGAAACAUCAAUCUGUAUUGACAUCAGCUCAUAUUUGUAGUAAUGUGAAAACAUUUUGAAGGUGGUGCCUUCUUGACCGAGAGGAGGCAGAAAGUAUCUUUUUGGCUCAUGUGGAUGACAGAUGAUGAAACAAUACAAAGC